AGCUGCCAAUCACAGAGGAGAAGCAAGAGUUGUUUCCCGCUGCAGAGAGCGCCCAGGGGGGACUAUUUAGUAGCUAGCGGCGUCCAGGAGAGAGCGAGAGAGAGAGAGAGAAAGAGCAGACAACACACUGCAGGUGCACAGACAGAGCCAGAGCCAGAGAAGACGAGUUUAGGAAACCUGGAGCCUGGCUGGCAGCCAGUGAAACACACACACACACAUUCAAAAAGGUUUCGUCUACGCCGGCGUCUAGUGUGCAUGUGCAAGAUAUGCAGCCGGAUGUGGCAGGAAAGCGGAGGAGAAACGAUCCUUUCCAGAGUGAACCCGACGCGCAUGUGACGUCAUACAAGCGCUUUCGGACGUGGCUCAUCCACAGAUGCAGUCGCGGGAGUCCCACUGCGAGUACGCCCUUGACCGCAGGGCGGCGCUCUAGGCAUAGAUUCAAGUUAGACGGAGUUUGUCAGAGACUGGAUGGAGUUAGAUUCUCCCUCGAGGCAUCAGGACACAGCCCCGACCGAGAGCGCAAGGUAAUCGUAGCAAAGUGUGGAUUUGGUGUCGUCAUGAAAGGAAAAAUCAAAUAAAAACAGACAUAUUUUGGAAUUAGCGUCAAGACAGACUGUAUGCAUCAGCACCAAAGACAGGAUGCAUCAUCCCAAACUCCAAAAGAUAUUCAGUCAUGUUUAAUGCGCCAGAACAGGUUUGUUCCGAGAGCAUGCAAAGAAAGAAAGAAAAAAAAAAACACACCACCACCUGAGGGCAAGAAUAAGGGUGUAUCUUUAUGAUUUCUUUUCAGAAAUGGAUUUGGACUGUACAAAAAAGGUGGAGACGCACAAUCGAGUGGUAAACAGGCCUUUUACUCUGCAUAGAAGUGAUGAUGGAUUGGGUAAAAAAACUACAUACAU